CCUUUCUUCUGGUGUUUUUUGUAGGUGAGCCUAGCAUAUGGAUCAGAGCCUGUGUCAGCGGGGUGCUCUUACAACAAGGGACUUUAUUACAGCUUAUCCAACUCUUGGCAAGUUCUCAAUCUGGAGAACUGGUUUGUACUACAGAGAUUGCUGCUCUGCGUUGCAUGCUAAUGGAGAUGUAUAGCUGCACCUGAAAAGCCCUGGGAGCAAACUGACCUGCAGGAGAUCAACCCACCUAAGCAGUGAGCUUGUAGCAGACCUCACAUUCAGCCCCUCACGCUUAUUCCUCUCAUCUAUAGUUACAGUUUCCCUGCUUGCCAUGGAAUAAAACUCAGGAAUGCAGUUUCCAGGCCCCUGCCUUGCCAAAAUUGAGUGUGUUUGCCUCUUCUGCCCUGAGCGAGCAUUAAACCCCCUUUAAGUUCAAUAAAUACUCCCCAGGCCUGGCCAGCAAGGUAACUGGAGGCUGCAUCGCUUGUCACUGCAGAUGACACAUGCCUCUCUCUCAGGAUGUGGUUUAAUGAGCUUCUUCAUGGUCUCCCAAGGCAGAAGUGUAUUUAUGGCACAAGGGGAGAUUUAUAUAGUUUUUCUUUAAAAUCUGUCAGCUAAUAAUAGCUGUGGCUGGGGCUGGGUUGUGCCGGUCUCGCACACAGGUAUAAAUCAAGGCUG